GGGUGGUACAGAGGGCACCCAAGUCGUGAGGCGGAGCUAAUCCCUUAAAGCCAUUCUCAGUUCGGAUUGUAGNCUGANACUCGCCUACAUGAAGCUGGAGUUACUAGUAAUCGCAGAUCAGAAUGCUGCGGUGAAUGCGUUCCCGGGUCUUGUACACACCGCCCGUCACACCACGGAAGUUGGGGGCGCCCGAAGCCGGAUUGCUAACCUUUUGGAAGCGUCCGUCGAAGGUGAAAUCAAUAACUGGGGUGAAGUCGUAACAAGGUAUCC
rnacentral:rRNA from 1 species